rnacentral:lncRNA from 1 species
UAUAAUCAAAAUUUCCAAUAAGUUCAUACAUAAUUCAAAAACCCCCAUAAAACAAAUUAUAAUAAAACUAGAAAAACGGGCAGAGAAAAAGACAGAGGACCCACGAUUGAAUUCAGUGAAUGGGUAAGAACAAGAUAUAGCAGAUCUACAAUCUACACUUUCAGAUGUCAAUAAAUGUAUUAAAACAUCUACACUUUCAGAUGUCAAUAAAUGUAUUAAAACAUUCUGUUGAAUAUAUAUUUCGUCACUGAUUAUAUAAAUCAAUCAUUUAGUGAAUGUUAAAG